GAUAUCGAAAUAGAUGAUGACAUUUUUACCUCCAUAAAUAUCCAGAUGCACCUAAUAUAUAGCUUCGAUAUCUAUAUAUAAGAGCGGUAUCGAUAUUACCAAUCCCUAGUCGAUGGAAAGGUAUUUUCUAUCAGGCGCGACAUAUUUAGUUACAAAAAAGUUUUAACUAUGUUUAUUAUCACAUGAUAAUACUGCGUAAUUGUUGUGCUUGCAUUAUUAUCUUAAAUGUGGUUUAAUUUAUUACAACAUAUUAAUAAUCCAAAACGAGGAUAUCCGCAAAAAACCAAAGUAACCGACAGAACUCGAAGGAUAAGCAAGCUAAUGUGGCAAUGGGUUGGCCAUAAAGCUCGAAGAACCGACAACCGAUGGGGUACCGAUAUCGAUGAGAGUACCGAAUCGCCACUUACGAAACUUACUUCGGUUUUUGCUGUACUUAUAUUUAGCCAAUUGCCAGUUGAAGGAAAAGUUUUUUAAUUUGGCAACAUUAAUAUCAUGAACAUGGAAAUGGAACUUUUUCAACUGGGUCAACAUUGAAUGAUUUAAAUGAAACACAAGAAAAAAGAUAGAAAGAAAACUAAAAGAAAUAAAACUUGUAUUCGUCCACGUUCAUUAAUGUGCAAAAAUAAAUUAGAAUUGUUUAAAUGAAUUUAAAAACGACGAAUUUAUGAGGUAUCAAACAUAAAAAAGAUGCACUGAAUUGAGAACCUCCUUUUUGGAAAGUCAAAGAAGAAGUGAAGUAAAUAAAAAUAUAUAAUAAUAUAGUACCACAUUCACAUUUACAUAUUUUGUUGUUGUAAUGAUUAACUUCCAUUUAAAUGAGUAUCACUCAUUGUUUGUAUUUAUAAUAAGUUUGCUUUUGUAUUCUUAUGGAGGAAACAAUAAAGGGUAUCUAUCUAUCUAUCACUCAGAUUAUUCCCACUUUUGUUAUUUUAUUAUUACAUGUAAGGUCAUCAUUGUAUUGCCUUUCUCUAUUUAUUUGGGGUCGGCGCGGUAUGCCUUCUUCCACAAAUCCCUGUCAACUGACAUUUCUGGGCUCACUAAUCUUUUAUGCAUACCAUUUUUCACACAGUUCAUCCACCUUUUCGCCUGUCGUCCUCUGUCUUAUCAUCUAUUUACUUUCAUACUUAACACUUUCUUUGAAACAUAGCUUUCAUUUCUGCACAUGAUAUGACCAUACCAAGACAUUCUAUUACUUCACAACCUCUCCGUUACUGUUGCAACUUUUAUUAUUACAAAGUAUCACUCUCAAAAAACUAUGAUUUUUGUUGUCUAAUAUAAUAGUAUCUCAAAACUAGAAUAACCUGUAAA